UGGGGGAAUUUUGGACAAUGGGCGAAAGCCUGAUCCAGCAAUGCCGCGUGUGUGAAGAAGGCCUUCGGGUUGUAAAGCACUUUUGUCCGGAAAGAAAUCCUUGGCUCUAAUACAGUCGGGGGAUGACGGUACCGGAAGAAUAAGCACCGGCUAACUACGUGCCAGCAGCCGCGGUAAUACGUAGGGUGCAAGCGUUAAUCGGAAUUACUGGGCGUAAAGCGUGCGCAGGCGGUUUGCUAAGACCGAUGUGAAAUCCCCGGGCUCAACCUGGGAACUGCAUUGGUGACUGGCAGGCUAGAGUAUGGCAGAGGGGGGUAGAAUUCCACGUGUAGCAGUGAAAUGCGUAGAGAUGUGGAGGAAUACCGAUGGCGAAGGCAGCCCCCUGGGCCAAUACUGACGCUCAUGCACGAAAGCGUGGGGAGCAAACAGGAUUAGAUACCCUGGUAGUCCACGCCCUAAACGAUGUCAACUAGUUGUUGGGGGAUUCAUUUCCUUAGUAACGUAGCUAACGCGUGAAGUUGACCGCCUGGGGAGUACGGUCGCAAGAUUAAAACUCAAAUGAAUUGACGGGGUCAUAGCUGUUUCC
rnacentral:rRNA from 1 species